GACGAAGGGGGCUAGCGUUGCUCGGAAUUACUGGGCGUAAAGGGCGCGUAGGCGGCACUGUUAGUCAGGCGUGAAAGUCCUGGGCUCAACCUGGGAACUGCGCUUGAUACGGCAGAGCUAGAGGAUGGAAGAGGCUCGCGGAAUUCCCAGUGUAGAGGUGAAAUUCGUAGAUAUUGGGAAGAACACCGGUGGCGAAGGCGGCGAGCUGGUCCAUUACUGACGCUGAGGCGCGACAGCGUGGGGAGCAAACAGG
rnacentral:rRNA from 1 species